rnacentral:rRNA from 1 species
UGCAGUCGACGAUGAUCUGGAGCUUGCUCCAGGGAUUAGUGGCGAACGGGUGAGUAACACGUGAGUAACCUGCCCUUGACUCUGGGAUAAGCGCUAGAAAUGGCGUCUAAUACCGGAUACGAGCUUCAGCCGCAUGGCUAGGAGUUGGAAAGAAUUUUGGUCAAGGAUGGACUCGCGGCCUAUCAGCUAGUUGGUGAGGUAAUGGCUCACCAAGGCGACGACGGGUAGCCGGCCUGAGAGGGUGACCGGCCACACUGGGACUGAGACACGGCCCAGACUCCUACGGGAGGCAGCAGUGGGGAAUAUUGCACAAUGGGCGAAAGCUUGAUGCAGCAACGCCGCGUGAGGGAUGACGGCCUUCGGGUUGUAAACCUCUUUUAGUAGGGAAGAAGCGAAAGUGACGGUACCUGCAGAAAAAGCACCGGCUAACUACGUGCCAGCAGCCGCGGUAAUACGUAGGGUGCAAGCGUUGUCCGGAAUUAUUGGGCGUAAAGAGCUCGUAGGCGGUUUGUCGCGUCUGCUGUGAAAUCUGGGGGCUCAACCCCCAGCCUGCAGUGGGUACGGGCAGACUAGAGUGCGGUAGGGGAGAUUGGAAUUCCUGGUGUAGCGGUGGAAUGCGCAGAUAUCAGGAGGAACACCGAUGGCGAARGCAGAUCUCUGGGCCGUAACUGACGCUGAGGAGCGAAAGCAUGGGGAGCGAACAGGAUUAGAUACCCUGGUAGUCCAUGCCGUAAACGUUGGGAACUAGAUGUGGGGGCCAUUCCACGGUCUCCGUGUCGCAGCUAACGCAUUAAGUUCCCCGCCUGGGGAGUACGGCCGCAAGGCUAAAACUCAAAGGAAUUGACGGGGGGCCC